AUGCUGCUGCUGGCAGCUCUGAUGGUCGUAACUGCACGGUCUUAUGGAUUUGAGUGGGGAAUUCCCAUACAGAGCCCUAUAUCCAUCACCAAGUCACAAGGAAGUAUGUGUCUGCAAUGUCAUUUUAGAGACUUCCUUGAAAAUUUUCAUAACACUGUCAUACACUGGUAUCAACUGAAAGAGAAUAAUCCUCCAAAGAGGCUACUCUUCUUUGCAGGAGGGAAAACUACAGUGGAAAGUGGCUUUGCAGGGAAUAAGUACAUGGUAGAUAAUGUUUCUAGUCGGAAUCUGUCCGUUCUGACAAUAAACGAUGUAAGUCUGGAUGAUGCUGCUACAUACUACUGUGCCUACUGGGACCCGCACCAUGAGAGAUUCUCAGAGACCAUCAAGCCACAAAACUCCUUCAACCUCUCAACUUCAACUUCAGUCUGA